rnacentral:misc_RNA from 1 species
CGGCAACGCUGUUUGUGUCGACACGUGUUGUGCGUACUCGACGCUUCGAUGCGAUGUUUUUCGCGCCGAUUUCGAAUUACUGUUGUAUAUGCCGAAUGUUCCUUUAAUGUGUUUUAGUUGAACGUUAUGCACUGAUAUCUGGGAGUUUGUGUGAAGUGGUUCAGUGAAUGUUUUGUUUUAUAAAAAAUUUUAAGUAACUGAGAACUAGUUGAUCCUUAGUUAGCAAUUCAAUUGCUUGAGAUUUUCCUUAUUUGCUAGAAGUGAAUUCCAGUCCUGAUAUCACACCUCAGUUAUUGGAAAAUCAUCCAAAAGAAAAAGAUACCGAACCCCCAAGAACAGGAUUGAAGACGAACAUGAAAAUAAGAAAGAUCAGUUGAAAAGUAAGAAGUUUGUGUCUCAAGCUCACUGACAAUGGCCGAAGAGAAGAAAAAGGAUGCCAGUGCACUGUUGGCCAAAAAGAAAAAAGUGAAGCCGCGCAAAUCCAGAGACGCUGACUGCUGCAGCGUCAACUUCUUGAAGUGCGUCUUACAUAUCUUCAAUGUGGUUUUCUUGUUCGCAGGCGCCGGCGUGCUAGGCGUAGGGGCGUGGACAGUGACGUAUCGACAUCGAUAUGUGUCACUGUUACCGACACCGACCUACCCUGCUAUCGCGUACCUGCUCAUCAUAGCUGGGGCUAUGGGAGUGCCGCUAUGUGCCCUCGGCUGCUGCGGGCUGAAGACUGAGAAUAGAACCAGCUUGUUAUGCUACACAUACUUCCUGCUGAUAACAUUUAUCCUGGAGGUAGGCGCCGGCGGUUUAGCGUACUAUUACGAGGUGGCUGUGGAAGAUGAACUGCGAGCUGAGUUGAAUAAUACGUUCCUGUCUAACUAUGCGUUGGACACUACGAUCACUGAUGCUGUGGAUCGCAUGCAGACUGAGUUUAAAUGCUGCGGCGCGGAGCGUUACUCGGACUGGCGCCACAGCCCCUGGCACGAGCACGACCCGCGUCUACGAGUGCCCGACUCCUGCUGCAAGUCGCCGGCCGCCCGCUGCGGCGCCAGGGACCAUCCCUCCAAUAUAUACUACCAUGGCUGCAUACGACAGUUCACGAACCACAUACGAGACCACCUGAUCAUUCUAGCAGCGGUGGGGGUGGGGAUGGCGGUCAUUCCUAUCUUCGGGUUUCUGUUCUCGUGCGUGCUGUACGUGAAGAUAAAGCACGUGAUAGACUGACGGCGGGCCGCGCCGGCCAACGCUAACAACCGGAAAGUGUUCGACAAGAGUGCGCGGGGCGGCGUGACGUCACGCGGAGCACGUGGCCGCCCCCGCCCCCGCCCCGCGCCCUGCCCGCUGCACCCCGCGCAGGACAAGCGCCCCAUACACACCAUCAGCGACAACCUCAGCAUAUAAACUGCAAGUGCCGUCUCCCAGUAGACUUAGAUCAUGUGUUCAUCGGAUGUUAAUCGAUUACUAUACAAAUAAUGUUCGUGUCUAAUUAUAGUGACGUAGAAACUGUGAACGAAUUUAUAUCAGUGUCCGAGUGGAAGCUCGAUAGUGACUAUUAUUAUGUAAGAUGGUGCUACACUAUUUUGUUAUAGAGUCGCGGGUAGAUAGCGCAUCAAAUGGGGAGGGAAUCUUAUUGUUUAAUGGAAAAGCCAUGUGGAAUUGCAAUUAUAUUUAGUAAUUGUGUAAUUAAAUGUCUACCAAAUAUUGAAACAUGUAAUGUUCUGAAAUGAUUUAAUUAAAAUUAUCACUGACGUUUUGCACAAUGCAAAAGCGCCGCAUACCUAGUUAAACGUAUAAAUCUUUAAAUAUUGCUACUAAAUACACAUUACUGAUUUGUAACCUCUGCUCAUUUACGUAUAAUUGCUUACUACAGCGUUAUUUCUGAGAACAAGCAAUUUUAUUAUUAUUAUCACGAUGACGACUUUAGCAAUUCUCAGCACAUCACAUUGGAAGUAUGUACUUGCAUACUACGAGUUGUUUUAUAAAUUCCUUUGUUACACGAGAUAAACUGUUUGCGAACAUAUGGGUAACAGAUUGGAUCCUGCGAGUUGCAUACAGAUGUAAUUGUUGUCAUUCCUUUUUAUAAUUAUUAAACAAUGCAGUAAAACCUAGUCAUUAAACUACGUGGAAUAACUAAAGCAGAAGCAAACGUGACUUGUGUCCACAAUUAAAUGUUCUACUGUUUUUCUAACCAUCAAACCUAUACCUACAGAAUAAAGAGCAUAAUGUAAUAUUACAAUAUAUUUAGAUGACAGAACCGUGUUUAAUCAAUUAAACUUAUAAAAAAUGUGCCUUAUUAAUUUGUAAGAUUGUAUAUAAAAUAAUGUAUUGAAUGUAAUUUAAACAACAGUUAAAUACAAUUAAGUUAUUCGUUCAUAUUUUAAUGGUGAGUUACAUAAAAUGUCCAAAGUUUUAAUCGAUAAUCGAAAUUUUAUGACAGUGGCCUAUUUGCAUUUUUAGUGGCAACACUUUACGGACUUAUCCUUCAGAAGGUUAUGAAAAGGUGAAAUAGGUGACGGGUGAGCUGUACUUGGACUACGUUACAUUUCACUUUAUUUACAUGUAUAUAUAUAUGUUCUUUUUAUCGAUCCUUUACUUAUACUUAACACUGGUGUGGAGACUGGAGAACAUUAAAAAAAUAUGUGUAUCACAAUACUAACUUGAAAUCGAUUAUUUAUGAACUGGCGAGUAAUAAUAUUUAUUGGAAUGAGUCUAGCCUUCAGUAAAUAAAUAAAACUUAUUUAUCAAAAUAUUUUAUUCUACAAAAGUGCAUACACGAGACAUUUGAGACAUAAAAUGACGUAGAAUAAAUUCCGAUUGCGAAAGUAUAGUCUAGUGUUGCCAAUUUAAACUUGUCAAAAGGGCCACUUAACCAGUCAUGUUGGUGUUUAUGUUAAUUUUAGAAACUUAAGCCAAAUGUUAUAUUAAGUCAGUUUUUUUGUACGGGUACUUAAUUGCUGUUGCUUUCUAUUGAAAUAUUUCCAAUUAAUUUACUAACUUUCACAUGUUAUUAUAUUUUCUAAUAUUCUAAUAAAUAUCACUAUAACCGUUUAUUGUAAUUGAUAAUGUCUCAGGUUUAACACAGUUUUUUUAAUUAUUUUUUAUAAAUUAUAAUAUCAAGAAGUUGAUAUUAGUCGUUUUAUAAAACACGAGAUUUUAUCAAUUACAGUUUACGUUGUCUGUUAUCUUUGUCUUCACGUUUUAAAAAAUUCUUGUUAAUUAAUACAGUUCGAAUAUAAAAA